UACAGAGGGGGCCAGCGUUAUUCGGAAUUAUUGGGCGUAAAGGGCGCGUAGGCGGCCAUGCGUGUCUUCCGUGAAAUCCCUCGGCUUAACUGAGGACGUGCGGAAGAAACUGCAAGGCUUGAGGUUGGGAGAGGGAUGCGGAAUUCCAGGUGUAGCGGUGAAAUGCGUAGAUAUCUGGAGGAACACCGGUGGCGAAGGCGGCAUCCUGGACCAAUUCUGACGCUGAGGAGCGAAAGCCAGGGGAGCAAACGGG
rnacentral:rRNA from 1 species